AAGUUUCUGGAUGCUACUUAAGCUGCAACAGCAUGGGGAAAAGGAAAGUUUUUUGUGUCAUUUUCAUUGGCCUUCAAUCGGGACCACGGAUCUGGAGAAGAAACUUCAAGAUAACUGGUUUGGCCAUCAGUGCUUUGCAGGCUUUUUCUGCCUAUGCCUUCUCCCAUGGGGGAAGAGAGAGAAAAAAACCACUGGGAAGCGCAGAUGAUGGAACAGAACAAUGUUCGAUGUUACUGGGAAAAGUGUGGGAAGGGAAGAACCCCUUAUGCUACCAAGGCAGGAGGUACAGCAAAAUCUCUGCUACCACAGCAAUGCCUCACAAGUCUUGUGGUCAUCUACAAGUGGCAAAAGAGACACAUCUUGCUCUCAACUGAAGUGUCACAUCACAGCAGCAUAUAACUACACUUCUAAAGUUGCCUACAUCCAAAGUGAACUGACUCCGUGCUGAAAAUGUCCCCUGUUACAACCAGAGACUCUGGAUGCAGGAAAGAUGCUGUCAAAACAUAACGGUCCAGCUUAUGGCUUGAUUGAAUGUUUUAUCAUCUUUGGAAGGCAUGACAGCUGGUGUGAACUUUUGUAUCCGAUAUCAGCUCCUGCUCCAAAUACUUCCAUGUGACUGGCUUUGGUUAAAGAAGACACUCUUGCUGAAUUUAAUUAGAUAGAAACACAGUUUAAGUGCAGAUACCACCCCUUCUCGUUACCAAGGAAGAUGGCCUGGAGCGUUGCUUCAUGCCCAAGAGUCUCCCUAGCAUAGCUUUCUGGCUGAGAAAACAAUGUGCUACAUCCAGGAAAAAUAUGAAGGCUACAUCUGUGCCUAGAAACUGUCACAGUGGUAUCUUUAUAAAUUGUACUGAUAUAAAAACAAAGUGCCUCAAUUUAA